AUCGAACGCUGGCGGCAGGCUUAACACAUGCAAGUCGAACGAGUGGCGGACGGGUGAGUAAUGCUUGGGAAUCUAGCUUAUGGAGGGGGCUAACUACGGGAAACUGUAGCUAAUACCGCGUACCAUAGGAUGAGCCCAAGUGGGUUUAGGUAGUUGGUGUGGUAAAGGCUCACCAAGCCGACGAUCCCUAGCUGGUCUGAGAGGGUGACCGGCAACACUGGGACUGAGACACGGCCCAGACUCCUACGGGAGGCAGCAGUGGGGAAUAGUGCGCAAUGGGGGCAACCUGACGCAGCCAGGCCGCGUGAAUGAAGAAGGCUUUCGGGUUGUAAAGUUCUUUCGGUAGCGAGGCGUUACCCGCAGAGGAAGCAACGGCUAACUCCGUGCCAGCAGCCGCGGUAAUAC
rnacentral:rRNA from 1 species